rnacentral:rRNA from 1 species
GACGAACGCUGGCGGCGUGCCUAAUACAUGCAAGUCGAGCGAAUCAAUGGGAGCUUGCUCCCUGAGAUUAGCGGCGGACGGGUGAGUAACACGUGGGUAACCUGCCUGUAAGACUGGGAUAACUUCGGGAAACCGGAGCUAAUACCGGAUACGUUCUUUUCUCGCAUGAGAAGAGAUGGAAAGAUGGUUUCGGCUAUCACUUACAGAUGGACCCGCGGCGCAUUAGCUAGUUGGUGAGGUAACGGCUCACCAAGGCGACGAUGCGUAGCCGACCGGAGAGGGUGCGCGGCCACACUGGGACUGAGACACGGCCCAGACUCCUACGGGAGGCAGCAGUAGGGAAUCUUCGCAAUGGACGAAAGUCUGACGGAGCAACGCCGCGUGAGUGAAGAAGGUUUUCGGAUCGUAAAACUCUGUUGUUAGGGAAGAACAAGUACCGGAGUAACUGCCGGUACCUUGACGGUACCUGACCAGAAAGCCACGGCUAACUACGUGCCAGCUGCCGCGGUAACAC